AUGGACUUGCCUCUCCUCAAAGAUAUCAACAAGCAAUCAUUUAGAUGGAAAGUUAUGGCCAGGAUCGCAAGAGUCUGGGAGCUCAAAAGAAAAGACACAGGAACUACCUAUGAGGUGGACUUCCUGCUGCUUGAUCGACAGGGUGGCACAAUGGAAGGUUUGAUUCCAGAGAAGAGAAUGGCCCAAUUUAUGAAGCACAUCACCGAGGGAACAAUUUAUACAAUUGAGGACUUCAAUCUAUAUGAUGCCAAGAGCAAGUUUAGAUCUUCAGAUCACCCCCUCAGGGUAUGUUUCACAUUUCGCACUAAGCUUAAAAAAGUGGAGCCCCAACCCGUGAAUUUCCCAAUAUUUGCCCACAACGACAGGCCAUUCUCUGUUCUGGAAGCACGUGCUGAUCAGAACUUCAUCUUAUCAGAUGUUAUUGGAGUAAUCGUGCAAGUCACAGAACUCUUGCCAGGCUCCAGCGCAAACCCUGAUGAGCGCUGUCAGAUCUACAUCACUGAUGGAAACCAGCGGGCUGUGGUGACACUUUGGGGGACACACGCCACUACUUUCAACACCGCGGGCCUCGUGGAGAGCUCUGCCACGCAGCAUAUCGUUGCUCUUUUUGUAGGUGUUACAGUGAGUCACUAUUCAGGUUUACUCGCUUUCAAAUCGACAUCAGUGACCAAAUUAUAUGUUAACAUCCCAAUACCAGAAAUGGAGACCGUCAGACACAACGUGACAGGUAUUCCAUCCCAGAUUGAAUGGUUUGGUAACCAUCGAGCAAGAAAAGAGCCGGUAGAUGCAAGAAUAGCAGAAAUUGCUGAGCUUGAACCCAACCACAUCAUGGACGAACGCUACAGAUUUUCAAUUCUUGUCACUGAAGUUAUCCUAUCAAGUGACUGGUGGUACAAAAGUUGCAAAGACUGUCGAAAGAAAGUUCAAAUGGAAGGCGACACGUAUAAAUGCUCACGUUGCAUCACCACUGUUCCUAUGCCGAGAUACAAAAUAUCACUGAAUGCCAUCGAUGCGGACGCAAAAAGGCACGAAGACUCGCCAUUUGCUCGGUUCAUAUUUUGGGGCCAGCAGGGAGAAAUCCUCACAGGAAAGCAAGUACUGAUUUUAGUAGCAUAA
rnacentral:rRNA from 1 species